UUGUGAACCAAUGGAGGGAUUCUUCUGUACAAACUUUACAUCAGGAGGUUGUGUUGUAGCACAGAAACACAGGAGCUGUGAACCAGGACAUUACAUCAGCAGGAAUGGAACAGCCUCCACAGACACAGAAUGCUCUGAAUGCAGCAGAGAAUCAUUUUCUAAUGGAACAAUGUUGUCAUGUCAGCCUCACACACGAUGUGAAAAAGAAAACCUCCAGCUGAUAAAAGCAGGAACAACUUCAACUGAUGCUGAAUGUGGAGAAAAAAGUUCCAACAUCACAGGAAUUGUGAUCGGUGUUGUGAUGGUUCUAUUAGUUGUACCAAUAAUUGUUGUUGUUUUUUUCUGGAAAACUAAAAAGAUUGCAAUACCAA